GUAACCCAAAUUUUGACUUCUGUCAUGUGUGCAUUUGCUACGUGCUUAAAAGUACAGGACAGUCUGUUCCGAAGGCCUCAGCUGAACUUUAGACUUUAGAAGACUUCUGUAUUAAUAUAGAAAUAGAAAAACAAAAAGAUGUAGAUUUCCAUCUAGUCUCACAGAACGUUUAUGUUUUGCGCUUAUGACGCUGUUUGUCUGAGUUUUGGCUUCACACGUCUGUAUUUUGAGUUAUUUUUGAUCCUUGUGGGUUUUUGAUAAGGGAGACAAUACAGCCUGAGGUCUAUACAAUACAAUAUCUCCUGAGGUCUUUGCAACCCUGCAUUUAGCUGAGCAACACCCAAAGGCAACAACUAUCUGUUGAUCUUCUAAAAUGUGGAAGUUAAACUGGACUGCAAGGCUCAUCUGGUAUCUUUAUAUGGACCAGAGGCAUAUGACCAAUGUCUUUCUAUCUAUUUGAGACAUGACUUCAUUUCUGGAUCACGAGACUCUUUGCUUGAAGAGACUACAUAAGGAGGUGCAAACCCCUCCUUCCUCUCUCGCUCAGACUGAGUUCAGCCUAGACCCUUCUAGCUGGACUUAGUCUUUUCUCACCUUCUUCAUCUUUGAUUCCGGGCUCACUUGAAUACUUUGAACUUCUCUCAGGUUUUAUUCAUCUCAGAUAUGAUUAUUAUUAUAUUACUUGUUAUUAUAUGAAUACUAUUAUAACUUUUGACUUUUGAUAUACAGGGUAUUGUUGUAUACUUUGUAUUAUUAUUAUUUUUAACAUCUUGAUUACUUUUGAAUAUUAUAAUGCAUUUUGUAUUACUUUUAAUUGGGCAACAUCCAUCAUACAUGGAUUGCUUUUAAAACUAUAUUAAUUUUGGGAUUUGUAUUUUCUAUAUUUGAAGCUGAUUUUAAUACUUACUAAUCUGUUUGCAAGUUAUGAGUUGUAUUCUCAUUUCCUAUAUUCUUUGAAUAAAUUUGCAUACUAAAAUACCACCCCACCGUCUGACCAGAAUUGAAGUCUCAUUUUUUGCAUCAGUUUUGGAGGCACCCGCUGGAGAUCGUUGAAGUUUUCAUUUCAUUAAGUUUUGAUGCAACGCAAGACAAAAUAAAGAGAGGUAUGAGUGCAUGCUGAUACGGAACCUAUCCUGCGUACAUUUACCACACGACUGGUUCUAAGGGUGACCCUUUGGUGUGACUUCUGCUACAGUGCAGCUCAUUGACGAUUCGGGAGAGGUUGCUGUGCUCGUAGCUGGACAUCUGUGUUGGAUCCCAAGAACUGGACGCAUCGUCAUCACAUCGCACGCUAACUCUACAUCAUCUGAGAGACUUGUGCUUUAAUCUACCAGCUGAUAUAUAGAUUUACAAAUCCCUACAUCAAGAUGCCUCACAAGAUUAUUGAUCAAAAAGAUUCUUUUACUCCUAUUGCUAUCAGCAAUGAUGAAGAAAUGUAUGAAUUAGAGGUGAAGGGUAAGGAAAGAUACAAGAUGUUGAAAAAGAUCAACGAAAGUUUGGAAAUUUGCGACAUGAUACCCCAAUCCGAUAAGGACAAAUAUCUUAAGAAGCUACCCAUUAAGAAGAGAAAGUAUGAUGAUAAGUUUAGAGAUGGAAAGAAGGGUAUGCUGUAGUAAGUCCUCGACUCAGCAAAAGUCCAGGUGAGGUCAGGGGUCGGAUGCUUUUAGUGCUCCUCGUCUGAUCAGCUUGGUGAAGAAUUCCUGUCAACUUUAACGCGGCUGGGGUUAAAGAGGUAUCUACAGUCUACCUGAAAAGAUUCAUUCACUUUUAUAUUUCCUUUAUGCUUACACGAUUAAGUGCUUAUCUGAAAUGUUUUACUUACUUAUUUUUUCUGCAUAUGUAUUUGUUACCUUUGACUAUUAUGUAUCUUAUUUUCAAGGGAAAGGAUUUUGGGUGCGAGUCUUUUUGUCAAGACUCGAGUGGGGGACUGAUGUAACCCAAAUUUUGACUUCUGUCAUGUGUGCAUUUGCUACGUGCUUAAAAGUACAGGACAGUCUGUUCCGAAGGCCUCAGCUGAACUUUAGACUUUAGAAGACUUCUGUAUUAAUAUAGAAAUAGAAAAACAAAAAGAUGUAGAUUUCCAUCUAGUCUCACAGAACGUUUAUGUUUUGCGCUUAUGACGCUGUUUGUCUGAGUUUUGGCUUCACACGUCUGUAUUUUGAGUUAUUUUUGAUCCUUGUGGGUUUUUGAUAAGGGAGACAAUACAGCCUGAGGUCUAUACAAUACAAUAUCUCCUGAGGUCUUUGCAACCCUGCAUUUAGCUGAGCAACACCCAAAGGCAACAACUAUCUGUUGAUCUUCUAAAAUGUGGAAGUUAAACUGGACUGCAAGGCUCAUCUGGUAUCUUUAUAUGGACCAGAGGCAUAUGACCAAUGUCUUUCUAUCUAUUUGAGACAUGACUUCAUUUCUGGAUCACGAGACUCUUUGCUUGAAGAGACUACAUAAGGAGGUGCAAACCCCUCCUUCCUCUCUCGCUCAGACUGAGUUCAGCCUAGACCCUUCUAGCUGGACUUAGUCUUUUCUCACCUUCUUCAUCUUUGAUUCCGGGCUCACUUGAAUACUUUGAACUUCUCUCAGGUUUUAUUCAUCUCAGAUAUGAUUAUUAUUAUAUUACUUGUUAUUAUAUGAAUACUAUUAUAACUUUUGACUUUUGAUAUACAGGGUAUUGUUGUAUACUUUGUAUUAUUAUUAUUUUUAACAUCUUGAUUACUUUUGAAUAUUAUAAUGCAUUUUGUAUUACUUUUAAUUGGGCAACAUCCAUCAUACAUGGAUUGCUUUUAAAACUAUAUUAAUUUUGGGAUUUGUAUUUUCUAUAUUUGAAGCUGAUUUUAAUACUUACUAAUCUGUUUGCAAGUUAUGAGUUGUAUUCUCAUUUCCUAUAUUCUUUGAAUAAAUUUGCAUACUAAAAUACCACCCCACCGUCUGA